rnacentral:snoRNA from 1 species
CAGGAGCCUAAAGAGAUGUCUCUCUAUGGUCUGUUGGCCAUUUCAGAACUUAGGCGGUAAAAUGGUCAAUUUGUUAGAAAGAAACAGCU